CUACCUUGGGAUGGGAGAGUCCCUGGAGUCUUCAUGUGCAGCCUUCUGGUGCUGGGAGGGUCAUGCUACAGUGAAAACUUCUCUCAUCAGCACUACCCAGGGUCCAAAGCAACCUCUCUGUCUCUUGGAGCCUGAUAAGGACACAUUUAUAUUCUUACUUGCACACAAGCUGAGGUUGUCAGGCCACUAGUAGGGGAAGUCCUUCCAUGAGUCUAACUUCAAAUCCUCUUCAAUACUUGAAGCCCAACAGACCUGUGCUAAGUUUAUGAAAUGGGAACCUCACCCUCACCCACUCCCUGCAGCAUGAGAGCAGUUUCUUCUGGCUGGAGGAAUGGGUCUGGAGUACAGGGACACCGAGAAUGCAGGACUAAACCAGCUAGAGUGUCUCAGCCUGGGCAGCCCAGUGUGGCCUCGAUCUACCCGUGUCCAGGACUUCUGUAGGACUCUGCAGGGACCACUGUUCUCUGCCGCCCUCCUGUGGCCACCGAGCCCUUCGCAAAUCGCUGUUGAGAAGAGUCAGCUCGAGUUCUCAGAGCUGCGUCCUCGCC
rnacentral:lncRNA from 1 species